UGGUUAAAGGAUUAGAAGUUGCAGGA
rnacentral:piRNA from 1 species